AAGCCCCGCAAGGGGUAAGUAGAGUGGCAAACGGGUGAGUAACACGUGGGUGACCUGCCUUCGAGUGGGGGAUAACGUCCCGAAAGGGACGCUAAUACCGCAUGACAUCCUGCUCUUGGACGAGCGGAGAUCAAAGCUGGGGAUCGCAAGACCUGGCGCUUGAAGAGGGGCCCGCGCCUGAUUAGCUAGUUGGUGAGGUAACGGCUCACCAAGGCAACGAUCAGUAUCCGGCCUGAGAGGGCGGACGGACACACUGGGACUGAGACACGGCCCAGACUCCUACGGGAGGCAGCAGUGGGGAAUUGUUCGCAAUGGGCGCAAGCCUGACGACGCAACGCCGCGUGGAGGAUGAAGAUCUUCGGG
rnacentral:rRNA from 1 species